AUGAGUGUAUGAGUGACUGACGAGUGAAUGGUGUGUGUGGGCCUGCGAUAGACUGACAGUCUGCACUGGGUGUAUUGCUGCCUCUCGCCCAUUCCACGCUGUCACAGGCUCCAGCAGCCCCCCAUGAAAAUAGUAAUUUUUUAAAUGUGAUUUGUGUUUACUCAGAUUUCCUUUGUCUAAUAUUACAUAUUACAUCCAAAGACAUCUGAAACAUUCAAUGUGAUGAAUAUGCAAUAAUAGGGUAAAUCGGGAAUGAGGGCACUUUUUCAGGACUAUCUAUAAUAAUAAAAAAAUCUAAUGUGUAAUGUAUGAUGAGUAAUAUAAAAAGCACUGAUGUUACUUUGGUCAUAAUGAAUUAAUAAGGUUUAAGGCAUACAUCUUGAAUGCUUAUGUAGUUUAUUUAAGCUCACUGUCUUUUUUAAGCAUGGGUAAUGGUAUAUAAUGGUGAUUCUCAGCUCUGUGAUACUGUGAUGAUGUCUUUCCACAGAAACGGAAAUGUAAACAGGAGGAGUUAGUCAACUACACUGCAGCCUCUGCAAUAUCUACCUCAGAUACACUUCCUGUGUGAUGAUUGUGGGCUAGAGAAGGAAAUAUUCCUACGUUUCCGGAGCUGAGGAGUCUCUGUUUGUGCGUAAGGGAGGCUCUGUUCGUCUGGAUGUGCAGGGAUAUGAACGACUCCGAUUUGAGUCCCUGUUCUGGCAUUUCAAUAUCUCCACAGCCGUACUCGUAUACAUUAAUAAGUUUAAAGAUCUGAAAUUAUGUAAAGAUUAUAAAAGCAGGACGGAAUUUGAUCAGAGGAACUUCUCUCUGCUGCUGAAGAACGUGAGGCUGAGACACAGUGGGACGUACACAGCCACGAUAUCUGAUAAGUCAGGACAGCAGAUUCUUGUUGCUUCCUACAGGCUCACAGUUCAAGUGGCCCCGCCCACACCCCAAGUCAGAGUGGUGUUCCUCUCCUCUGCUGGAGGGUUCUGUAAGGUGUCAGUGAACUGCUCUGCUAAAGACACCUGGGCCAGCUACACCUGUGACCACGCCCAAUGCACACAGGUAGCGAAUACAGCCUCGCCAACAGGAGUCAACAUCAUUGUCACGGCAACCAACGGUACCAUUCACUGCAGCAGCAGUAACCGGGUCGACACAAAGACGGGAUCGGAAUCCACAAAGACCAUCUGUCCAGUUCCUCCAGUAACACCAUCUCCUGGCCUCUCGCUGUGUGCGUUAAAGUCAGUGCUGUUCUCCCUGGGUCUGGUUGCUAUGGUUUCGGCUGUCAUCGCAGUUAAUGUCAGAGAGAGGUGCUGCAGAGAUCAGUGAGGACUGAGAGAGAAGGAUUAGUUUGUCAGAGGGGAGGAGAGAAUUAAUAUCGGAAAUAACUGUGUGUGUGUGUCUGUUUGUGCGUGUGUGUUUGUGCGAGGGUAUGUGUAUGUGUAUGUAAGUGUGUGUACGCGUGUGUGCGUGCAUGUGUGUGUGUGUGUGUGCGUGCGCGUGUGUGUGUUUGUAUCAAAAACUGAAGAUGAAUUAGUUUGUCCAAGUUUUGCUGUGAUUAAUUGCAAUAAUGUUUAGCUGCCAUGUGAACUGUAUUUUUUUUUUUUUGUUUCAAGCUUUUAUAUUUUUUAUAUCUGUGAGCUUAAUUUGUGUUUUUGGAUUUUAAUGUGUUUUUGGAUUAUUAACUUUUCAUCCACUUGAGCCAAAGAUGAUUUUCCAUCAUCUGAUGAAUAAUAAAGUUUUCUUAUUUGGAAGUCG